CACGUAGAAGUAGGCACCUCCAGUGUAGUAGGAGUCAUCAUCGACGGUGGCGUCUGGCUCCUGGGCUCCAUCGUCUGGUCGCAGCAAUCGGGUAUAGAAAGGGGGAAAAGGGGGAACAAAGCAACCGUGAGUACUCAUCCAAAGUACUCGCAAGCACAGUGCUACACUACAUAUGUAUGCAUUGGUAUCAAAUGGAAAAGGGGGUAUCAUAUGUGGACUGAACUGCAGAAUGCCGGAAUAAGAGGGGGAUAGCUAGUCCUGUCGAAGACUACGCUUCUGGCAACCUCCAUCUUGCAGCAUGUAGAAGAGUAGAUGGUAAGUUUACCAAGUAUCAUCGCAUAGCAUAAUCCUACCCGGCGAUCCUCCCCUCGUCGCCCUGUUAGAGAGUGAUCACCGGGUUGUAUCUAGCACUUGGAAGGGUGUGUUUUAUUAAGUAUCCGGUUCUAGUUGUCAUAAGGUCAAGGUACAACUCCGGGUCAUCCUUUUACCGAGGGACACGACUAUUCGAAUAGAUCAACUUCCCUGCAGGGGUGCACCACAUUUCCCAACACGCUCGAUCCCCUUUGUCCAGACACACUUUUCUGGGUCAUGCCCGGCAUCAGAAGAUCAACACGUCACAGCCCUACCUAGGCACAAAAGAGAGGUCAGCACGCCGGUCUAAAUCCUAUGGCGCAGGGUCUGGGCCCAUCACCCUUUGCACACCUGCACGUUGCGAACGCGGCCGGAAGCAGAACUAGACCCUUAAUACAAGAGCAGGCUUCCAGUCCAAUCCGGCGCGCGCCGCUCAGUCGCUGACGUCACGAAGGCUUCGGCUGAUACCACAAUGUCGAGUGCCCAUAAUUGUCCCUGCAUAGAUGGUUAGUGCGUAUAGGCCAGUGGCCAGACUCAGAUCAAAUACCAAGAUCUUGUUAAGCGUGUUAAGUAUCCGCGAACGCCGACCAGGGCCAGGCCCACCUCUCUCCUAAAUGGUCUCAACCUGCCAUGUCGCUCCGCCACAAAGUAACAGUCAGGGGCCGUCGGGAACCCAGGCCCACCUCUACUGGGAUGGAGGCACCUGCCCCUUCAGCCCCCAUCUCCCAACAGUAUCAUAAGUAAUGUAACAGUAUAAAGUAUAUAGCAUAUGCCCGUGAUCACCUCCCGAAGUGAUCACGGCCCAGUAGUAUAGCAUGGCAGACGGACAAGAGUGUAGGGCCACUGAUGGAACACUAGCAUCCUAUACUAAGCAUUUAGGAUUGCAGGUAAGGUAUCAACAGUUGUAGCAGCAAUGACAGGCUAUGCAUCAGGAAAGGAUUAACGGAAAGCAGUAACAUGCUACACUACUCUAAUGCAAGCAGUAUAGAGAAGAUUAGGCGAUAUCUGGUGAUCAAGGGGGGGCUUUCCUGGUUACUCUGGCAAGAAGGAGGGGUCAUCUCCGAUGUAGUCGAACACACGGACAUCGGCACCGGUCUCGGAGUCUACCGAAAAGGAGUAAUGGAGAGGGAACACAAUAAAUAAUAGAGCAAUCAAAUGUAACACAAAGCAAGUCGCGGCAAUACGUUGUGUUAGGGGUGACCUAACGUAGGGAUAGGCGAUACCGGCGAAGGGGGGAAACAUCCAGGAAAGUAUUCUCGGUGUUUCGUGUUUUUGGACAGAUGAACCGGAGAGGGAAAGUUGCGUGUUCUCUAUGCUAGGGAUGUGUGACGGACGAAUGGGCUGCGUAUUCGGAUUCGUCUCGUCGUUCUGAGCAAUUUUCAUGUAUAAAACUUUUUCGUCUAACAUGCGGAUUAUUUUAUAUGAAUUUUUAAAGCUUUAAUAAUAUUCUAGAAUUUUUGGAAUUGUUUUGAAUUUGAAAGUUAAUUUCUAAAGUGCAGUCAACCCAAUCAACUUUUGACUAGUCAAAAGGGAUAGCAUGACCCACAUGUCAUGGUCAUAGGUGUAGAUUACUUAAGCUAAAUUAAUUUAAACUAGGGGGCCAUAUGUCAUUGUUUAUAUAGACUAAUUAGCACUAAAUUACAUCAUACCUAAACUAGCCCUAAUUAAGCCUAGCCUAAUUAAACCAUGGGCCGUCCGGUGGCAUAGCCAGCCGUGGCUGUGUACACACGCGCACACACGGAACACAAUAGCUAGGGGUUACUUCUGUUCCCUGUUAACAGAACAAAGCAUUUUGCGAUUUUUAUAGAAUUUAAUCCAUGUCGUAUUUGAAUUUAGUCCAAUGGAAUAAUUUGGAGGUUUUCAUGUGAACUCCUAACACAAAUUAAUUUCAACGAAGUUAGACUUUAUACGACCAUAGUUUAUGUCGCCAUCUAGAGAGCUAAGAAGGUAGAAAUAGAAAAAGCUAGCCAGCGCUACAGUAACAUUCAGUUACUGUAGCAGCGGCAGCAGAGCAGCGAAACGCAGCGGCAUGAGCGGCGAGGGUGCGGCGGCAAGCAGGCAAGCAGCAGCAGUCAGCGGCAUGGCGCGUACGCGGCCAGGCAAUGCCGCGCACGGCCGGGAUGCGGCCCGGGCAGCGUUGCCGGAGCCAGUGGUAGGCGGAGGCGACGACAACGCUGAGCGUGGGCGGGAGACUGCGGAGGCGCGCGCGUGGCCGGGGGGUGGCGCGGGGAUGGACAUGAGAAGGAGCAGACGCGCACCGGAGCACGAGUGCGGCCACGGCGUGGUCCGGCCACGACGGCCAUGGGCGGAUGCACGGCUGGGCUCUUUCGAUCGGGCAUGACGAGCUGCGUGGAACGAUGGCAGCAUCAAGGCAGAAGGCAACCGAAACUAUGCCGACGACGUGCUAAGGCAGAGGCAGGGGCUCCGGUUCAAUGGAAAUUGAGGACACGAACAUGUUGUUGACGAACCAAAGGAGCUACGCGUAUGUUUCACUAGAGCACCAGAAGCACGGCAGUAGUUUCAACUCAUCCCGAGGAGGACAAGGACGAUGACGGUGAGCUCGACAACGGCGGCGGAGCAGCAGUAAUGGCGACGACAACUAAAGGGCAAGAUUAAUGGCGCUAGCAGAGGGGAAAUGUUGGGGUGCUUACGUAGGAGCACACGGUGGCUCAUUGGAAGGUUAGGAGCGGCAGAGGGCGACGGGAUCGUCGACGAACGCCGGCGACAGCAGAGGAGGAGAUCGGCUCGAUCCGUCGACUUGGGACUCUCCUGCUCGAUCUGCUCCUCGAGGAAGACGUACUGUACGACGAAGGAGCGGCCGGGCAUGGCCUCACCGCACGGGGACGACGGCGGGGGUGAGGAUGACGAAGGCCAUGGCGGGCAGCGCUUGGGCGCGAACAAAAAUGACGAUGACGGCGCGAGAGAGGGAGAUGAUGGGGACUAGGGUUCAUGUACGGGGUCUAGGGGGGCCUUAUAGAUGUCAGGGAGGGGCUGGAUGCUCGGCACGUGGCCAUCCAUGGCCACGGACGUGGGCGCGGCGUCCACCCAGCCUCUGAUGAACAGAGAGGUUGGGGACGAGCUCUAGGUGGGUUGGGCCUUGCCUGUUUAUUUCAAGGCCCAGGUACACAGUAGUUUAGUUUCUGUUUUCUUUUCCUUUUAUUGCUCCUGUUUUUUUCAAUUAAUUUUUGUAUCAAAUGAAUUUUGUUGCCAUUAAAACUUUGCCCAAAAACACUUUGUAUUAUUAGGAGCUAUCACACAAUUUUUGGUCGCAAUUGGAGUUAAAUAAAUAAUUGCUUAUUUUGAAAAGGCUAUUUUUAUUUUCUGUUAGAAUACUUAUUAAUUUCCUAGGAAUUUAUUUGUGAGCCCAACAAAGUUGGUUUCAACAUCAAGAUGAUCAGGGAAUUUAUAGAACUAUUCGAACAUUUUAGUUUUACUGUUUGAAGAACUAAUUAUUUUGACUUGAUUUUAAAAUUUGAACUUGAACUCGGUUUGGACCAAAGUGCCGUUUAGCAAAUUAAGUGCAAUGACAUGGCACCGUUAGGGUGUGAUUACUGUAGCUUAACUACUAGGGUGUUACAAAUCUCCUCCACUACAAGAAAUCUCGUCCCGAGAUUUAAGAGGUGGAGUAGGGGAAAGUGCUGGUUACGAAAUUCUAACGAGUGUUCCCGGUCUUGGUUGCUCUUCUCGAAUAGGUCGACCCACUACGUUGAUGUCUUCAUUUCCCUACUCCGGGUCAUCAUGAUAAAGUCGUCAUCCUAUCUUCGGAAAACUCCAUCGUACUUACGGAAGAAUAAAGGGUGGGCAUUCUGGGAGAACAGACCUCUGCGAGGUCGACUUUAUGGUUGAUAAUAUCGAGGAAGGUGGUGGAAGUAACUCUCGAAUUGAAACUUACAAAAAUAUCGAGAGCAAAGUAAGGAGGUAUCAUGGGAAGUUUCGAGCGGGCAGGCAAUCGUUCGAUGCCUGAAACAGGGCGUGAAAAGGGGUUCAAAGCAAUGGGAAUAAGUAUUGUGUCUGAUACCAGAAUUGAUGAUCUCUCGGAAGGUGGCUCGUGAAUCACAUACGAGGCCAAGUGUGAGGAAUUAACUUUGGAAACCGGGGGUGUAUAGGAGAGUCAGGUUUCGAUCCUGUGGAACUGUGGGUUAUGGGCCCACCAUGUGGUUAAACAUAGGGAAGGCAUUGACACCUUGCACGGUCAUGAUAGCAAGACAUGUCAAAGGGUAGCCUAUCAGUUAUGUCGACAACAAUGUCGAUACCAAGGGCGAGGGACGAAGAGAACCAUUUUCCUACUCGUUGAACGAGGCGGACCAUUAGGCAAAGUUCUCGUCCAUCGGUGGCUAUCAGAAUGUAAUCAACAAAAGUAACAUGGUCUUUCUGGCAGAGUGGUACAACGAGGUGUUUACAUAAGCAGGGAUAUAUUACUGCUUAUAUAAUAUAGAUCACAAGAAGGUUUAAACAAACCAAUGGAAAGGAAAAGUGAUUAUCAGGUUUAAACAGAACAAUGGAAUGGAAAAUGUGUUUAAACACAUAUUUCAAGGGUAUAUCCUUCCGAAGGACAAGCAGAGCAUGAUAUCCAUGAAAGGAUAUAAUGUAGAAAACUAUUUAGGUAAGGUGAGAGAAAUUUCAUGACAUUACCCAUACAAUGGUGUUUGGAUAAUUGAGCAAGAAACAUUUAGCAUUGGGAUUCAAAUGUUCUUUGUUGAAAAUUGGAGUACCAUAGACAUGCUUCGAGAUAGCGUUGGCGUGGUCUUCAAGCAAAGGUUAGACUCAGGAUGCCUGAGAAGAGGUGUGACAAAAAUCGACGAGAUGACAAUAUAAGAUUCUCAGGAAAUGAACUAUAGGAGCAAGUUCUGAAACAAGGGUUCAUCAUUAAACCAUGGAGAGGAUGAGGAGGUGGCGGAUGGACACAGCGGCAAUUCAUCGAGGCUUCCAAAAAUAUGGAUUUCCACAAUUAAGUGAACAAGGUGAUAGCAUUGGACACACCGAAGUAUAUAAUGAGGUAUGUUUGAUGAUAACAUCCACAAUUAAAUAUUGAAUGAAAAUGCACCUGGAAAUAUGGACCAAGUAGGACGAUCAAAGUUAGAAUGGUGAUUUGAUAACUAAACUAUCGGCCAUUCACUUCUAAACAAUAGGGUUGCUAGAAGUUUUGAAGUCGCACAUCAUAGAUCAAUUGUCGGUUUUCCGGUUAGAAACAACACGGUGAACAAGGAGCGAACGGAUAUGGCAAGGAGUAUCACCUGUAUCAAGAAUUCUUAAGAGGUGGUGAAAUUCUCACGACAUUCUUGACAUAAAAAAUGGUAAUACUCCAAGGUAAAGAACAAAUGCUGGAUAGUAAGGAUCUCAAGGUAUAUCACGAAACACGAACAAGUUUGUGUUGAACAUAAGGCAAUAAAGUGGUCGGUGAUAACACAAAUCAUUGAGGGAAAGGAUGGUACUUCUCAUCAUGAAUUCAAUUGAUAUCCUGGAAGGAGUCAAAAUGUUGACAAUGAUCAUGACAAAUUUGUCGAGAGGUUUCAAGAAGAUAUAAUCGAUCGGUGAUGACAUCAAGUCAACAGAACGAUGAAGCAAAAAAUUAUUGGAACCACGAGUACGACACAAACUCGAAAUCAGGCUUGUUGUUCAAGACGAAAUGAUAUGACGAGGAAAAUCGAUGUAAGCUUAGCUCAUCGUCAAAAGUGGUGCUCCGGGGAUAAGGCCCAGGUAGCAUAGUUAAAAAUUAGCCCAAUAAUGGUAUAGCCGAUCAGGCUAGGAAUGAUGGGAAGGAUUAUUAAACUCAUAAGCAACGAAAAUUAACUAGGGUUAUCAAACCGGAAUGAGGAAUCGGUUCACAUAUCGGUGUUCUCGGUUGACGACAACCCAGAACCCAGAAAAAUUGAAAUCGGUGAGAAAUAACAGUUGAUGAAGAACCCAUAAGAAGUUAUGCAGUUCCAUGACAUUAUCAAGAUAUCCUAGUGUAAUACUCGAUGGUAGAUCAAAGUAAAGGUUGGACAGGUGCAAUGAUCUACACAAGACAAGUACUUAACUUGUCCGAUAAAUGGUAUUAAUGAGAAAAUAUGGUCGGAACCAUUAUUGCAAAGGAUCAAACAUAGAUACAGGACGAACUUAUAACAAGGGGAUUAAUAUCAUUUACAAGAAGCUUCGAUGAUAAGUUUCACAUCGGGUCCAUGGGCAUGAACGCAAAGGCUCAAGGUCCACUCCCACUUCUUCCGUGCAUAACCUUUCAUUUUACUUCUCGCUUUUGAUGAAGCUGUGUACAAAUUUUAUUUAGAAAAAUACCAUAAGAGUAUGGAAUGAAUUCAACAAUAUAACCAUCGCAUAAAGCAUUCUUUUCAUGAUCUACAAGCAUAGAAUAUUUACUACUCUGCACAUAAGCAAAAUUCUUCUUAUUCAGAAUAGUGGGAGUAUCAUAAGAAACUCGAAUACUAUAAAUUGUUUCCACAUUAAAAGAGUAAUGUUCAGGAAAAGGGUAAUCAUAAUCAUGACAAGUUUUAUAAAUAUAAUCAUCACUAUUUUUUAUAGCAUAAGUAUCAUCACAAUAAUUAUCAUAAGUAGCAACUUUGUUCUCAUCAUAAUCGAUUGAAACCUCUUUCAAGAUAGUGGAAUCAUUACUAAAUAAAGUCACGACCUCUCCAAAUCCACUUUCAUAAUUGUCAAAAUAAUAUUCAACAUCCUCCAAAAUAGUGGGAUCAUUACUUCCUAAAGUUGACACUCUUCCAAACCCACUUUCAUCAAUAUAACCACGUAGAAGCUUCCGGGUUUACACGGAUUAGAAAAGGCAUAGCUUCAACCCAUCGGGGCAUCAUAGAAACAUAUACCACAAUCUUCAAGAGUAAAUAGCACCAGCUCAAAAGCAGAGAAUGGUUGGCCAAACACAGAAUAGGAUUUACUAAUGGCAUUAUAUAUCAUAGGAAGAACUUCCAAAGUGAUUGAAUAUGAAGGACGUUGUCGGGUAAAAUCUAACAAAGGAUCCGAUGGUCCUCAAGGGAUCUGAUGUAAGCAUCGGUAUUCAACCAGAGGAAGAAAUAAUCCAAGAAGAUCAAAUUAUAGAAACAACUGACUUAAUUCAAAGCUCAAUUGCAAAGGAAGUAUGAAUUCCAAAACAAGGUAUCAGAAGCAAUGCUCUGAUUAGGGAUGGAUAAGUUGAAUAGACUUAGGGGUACAUUCGACGACAACUUGAUUGGUCGAGGACCAGCUCAUGUUCAAAAUGACGUCUGAGCCAGAAGGAUGAAUCCUAGGGUCUGAUUAAGGAAUGUGAGAAUUCCCAACAUAAUGAUUCAACAGACUCAAAUUGAUAAUGACUAAGGAUGCCAAUAAGAUUACCGGACUUAUGAGGUUAAUCAUAAUGCAAGCAAGCAAGAAUUUCAAGAGCAAAUAGGUUGUUGAGGAUUUUCGGGGAUCGAAUGGUAUUUCUAAGACUUUUGUGAAAUACAUGAAUCAACUGGGGAUGAGCGGAUACUUGAUAACUGCGAGAAAUUAUCCGCAAGGGUAUGUCUGCGGCAAAGAGCUGCAAAGCGGUGGGCACAAAGGAUUCUCGAAUUAUCGAAGAAAUUUUCAGGGUAUCAAGUAAUAACAGGGGAAACUAGGAACAAAAGUAAGAACGACAAGUGUAAGCAGUUAUCCAUAAGGAUUUAUCGGUGGUCGGGAAUAGCAAAAGUGGUGGGCACAAGGUCUCGAAAGAAUAACGGAGAGUAUCUUCGGAAUCUUCUGGUGAAGCAGGCCAUCAUCUGGAAUGAAGGGGCUCUUCGGGAGAAAGUAUUAACGAGAACCUAGAGUUAGAGUUAGCAAAAUCAUUUAACCCAAAUAGAAGAGAGUUCAGAGUCCCAGAGUAAGGAUCGAGGAGUAAAAGAUCCUAAUACCACCCAAAUGGUGACGUGGUCCCGUAAGACACACAACCAUGUUAGUAAAAAGUUUUAUAAUGUCUAGACUCAACUUCGGCCAAGGAGUGUGGAAGGGGGGAUUCCUACAGGCAGUCGGCUCUAAUACCAACUUGUGACGCCCUCGAUUUGACCUUACACUAAUCAUACACGCAAACGUGUACGAUCAUGAUCAGGGACUCACAGGAAGAUAUCACAACACAACUCUACAAAUAAAAUAAGUCAUACAAGCAUCAUAUUACAAGCCAGGGGCCUCGAGGGCUCGAAUACAAGAGCUUGAUCAUAGAUGAGUCAGCGGAAGCAACAAUAUCUGAGUACAGACAUAAGUUAAACAAGAAUGUCUUAAGAAGGCUAGUACAAACUGGGAUACAGGUCGAAAGAGGCGCAAACCUCCUGCCUGGGAUCCUCCUAAACUACUCCUGGUCGUCGUCAGCGGGCUGCACGUAGUAGGCACCUCCAGUGUAGUAGGAGUCAUCAUCGACGGUGACGUCUGGCUCCUGGGCUCCAUCGUCUGGUCGCAGCAAUCGGGUAUAGAAAGGGGGAAAAGGGGGAACAAAGCAACCGUGAGUACUCAUCCAAAGUACUCGCAAGCACGGAGCUACACUACAUAUGUAUGCAUUGGUAUCAAAUGGAAAAGGGGGUAUCAUAUGUGGACUGAACUGCAGAAUGCCGGAAUAAGAG
rnacentral:lncRNA from 1 species